rnacentral:tRNA from 1 species
GGCGCCUUAGCUCAGCUGGUUAGAGCACCGGAAUCAUAAUCCGGGUGUCCGGGGUUCGAGUCCCUGAGGCGCCACCA